CAGGCAUAACCAACUGCAUCAGCGUGAGAUUGGCUGCCAGUGUACAGAUUAUUUUUACUAUACUUAAACUGAUUGGUUUAGCAACUAUUAUUGGCGGCGGAAUCAUAAUGUUAUCUAGAGGAACGGUUGGAAGCUUACCAACGGGCUUUGAGGGCAGUGUAGAUAACCCAACAAGUAUUGCAACUGCCAUUUAUAGUGGUCUCUGGGCAUUUGGUGGUUGGAGUCAACUUAAUUUUGUCACAGAGGAGCUUAAGAAUCCCAGAAG